ensembl:lncRNA
GCUCCCCAGACUACACAUCCCAGACUACACAUGCCAGACUACACAUCCCAGACUACACAUGCCAGACUACACAUCCCAGCUCACAUGCCAAGCACAUGCCACACUGUCUCUGAUAUGCCUUUGACCAGUUCACCCGUGAAGUCUGGGGCCCAUGUUUUUUUUUAGAGUCUCACAGUAGGAGUUCUGAUCUUGGAUCAGUUUGAACUUUGGGAUCAUAAUGAACAACAUCACAUGGAGGUGGACGGGGGUCGUGGAGGACUAACCCUAGAUCAGCACUCCUAACCCAAGAUGCUUUAUGGAUAUUUUUUCGUACAGUAACACAUUAUCUGUAUAUGUGUCAUGUUUCGAUAGUGUGAUCUAUGUAUUUGAAUAUACUGUAGCAGCUUUUCAUACAACAGACAAAGAACAGCGAAUAUUUAACCUUGAGCUUGUGAAUGUCUCAAAAUACCUAAUGUACACACUAUUCAUAACUGAAUUGUUUCUGUACUUUUUAAUCUACUAACACCUUCUUAAAUGUGGAGAGAAAGGAACGUGUUUUUUUAUAAGGGGGAUGGAUUUUCUUGGCUUGGGUUGGUCUUUCCACAUGUUCUGAAAUGUCAUUAAAAAAAUAAUAAUAAUCUCCAGGCACACAGCUAGAGAAUGUUGACUGUCAGCAUUCCAUAGUUGAAUGAUGCUUGUGAACAUACCAGAGAUAGGAUAUUUAAUUUGUGCUGUGUCUGGUCGUACGUGAUGGUAUGCAGGUGUGUGGGAACAGAUGAUUGGUAGACCACGAGGCAGAGAAACAAGUUUGAUUGCAGAAGGCAUUCUUGAAAUUGGAUUCUUAUGUAAAAUGAUGUCAAUCGUUUUUUUGGGGGGGGGCAAAUUCUAAAUGUGUCUGGAUUUAACAGUUCGAUUUGUCGCAAAAAAUGAGGCAGCAUUUUAAACGUUUUAAAUGAUCUGUUAACAACUGUGAAAUUUUGUGACACAUUAAAAGUCUAGCUACAUUAUAGUUAAUAAGGCAUGCUACAUAUAGUCUAAGAGAAAAGUUUAAAAGUUUACUUAUGUUUAAUAUGAGGUUUUUGUUUUGCUUUGUAUUUGUUUGACUUGCAUAGGUUCAGAAGUGGUAUCGACUAAUGUGAGAGAGAAAUAUGACUAAAAUCUCCAUUUGUCAUAGCUUUGUAGAAAGUCUAUUUUGAGAGAGCAGUGUAUAUUUCAUAGUCAAAUGAUGGAAAAGUGUAUUCAAGGUGAGUUUAUUAAGAGAACCAAGUAAGUGUUGGUAAGUGUUUUCUACCUCUGUUUUCAAUACCUCUAUGUUUAUUUGAGUAGUCAGUGCAUGCAGGUAGAGGUUGUUUUUGGUGUUAGUACCCAGUAUGAGUAUGCUAUUGUAAAAAAUAAACAACCCACCAAAAUCAAUACUGUUCACAAAUUAAUCUUGAAUUUAGUUGUGGGACAUCUUCUAAUAGACAACAGUUUGUUUUCAUUCAAGUUCCUAAAUCUUCACAGACGAGGAUGGAAUCAAACCCAGUAGUAACACCUCCUCUACCAAAUAUCUUUCUGCUGCUAAACUUCCUGAACUUUAGUUCAUAUAAACGUCGCUUUAACCUGAACAUGAUUGUUUAAGCUUAUUAAAACCUGUUUUUCGAAACAAACAUUACUGUGUGUACGUGAGUUAUAUUGAGUUUAUAUUAUGGUUCUCAGUUUGCUGCUUGCAUUUUAUUCCCUUUGACUUUGUGAUUUGGAAUAUACAGUAGUUGAAUAUACAGUAGUUGAAUAUACAGUAGUUGAAUAUACAGUAGUCAUGGCUUUGUUGUUACCUGGAGGUAUAUUAUAUAGUAGUCAUGGCUAUGUUGUUACCUGGAGGUAUAUUAUAUAGUAGUCAUGGCUAUGUUGUUACCUAGAGGUAUAUUAUAUAGUAGUCAUGGCUAUGUUGUUACCUAGAGGUAUAUUAUAUAGUAGUCAUGGCUUUGUUGUUACGUAGAGGUAUAUUAUAUAGUAGUCAUGGCUAUGUUGUUAGCUAGAGGUAUAUUAUAUAGUAGUCAUGGCUAUGUUGUUACCUGGAGGUAUAUUUUGAACAGUAAAUUAUUUGAAAAAUUAAAUAUAAUCACUCUUAGUACUGUACGUGUCAGUGAUACGUACAGUGUAUAAACAUGCAAAUAUUGAUGGGGUGGCUGACAAUGUCACGGAAGUGGUGGCAGGUAGUCUAGCGGUUAAGAACAUUAGCUGAAAGGUCAGUGCUUUCGAAUCCCUAACCUGACUAUGUGAAAAAUCUGUCAAUGUGCUCUUGAGCAAGGCACUUCAUCCUAAUUGCUCCUGUAAGUCGUUCUGAAUAAACGUGUCUACUAAAUGACAAAAACGUAUCAAUGGGUCUAGAGGCCAUGCUUUGUUAUGAUUCUGAAAGGCCAGAUAGCUAACAACAAUGACCAGAAGCAGCCAUGUGGGGCAUCGUAGGUGGGUCGUUUCAGCUAGUUUUUAUCUUGUUCCCCAAGUGGUGAAGGUAUGCAACAACACCUCUGCCACGUUGAUCUUCAACACGGAGCCCCCACAGGGGUGUGUGCUCAGCCACCUUCUGUACUCCCUGUUCAGGCAUGACCGCGUAGACACGCACAUCUACAACUUAAUCAUCAAGAUUGCUGACGACUCAACAGUGGUAGACCUGAUUACCAACAACAAUGAGAGAGCCUGCAGGGAGACGGUGAGAGCCCUGCUGGAGUGGUGCCUGGAAAAUAACCUCUCUCGUCGUUAACAAAACAAAGGAGCUGAUCGUGGACUACAGGAGACAUCGACGAGGCCGCAGUGCAGUGGUGUAAACAGGACAGGAAAAUGGUCUAAUUCACACAAUUAUCAAAGAGAACAUCCCUGGUCGUCCCUACAACCUCUGCUCUGGCGGACUCACUAAACACAUGCUUCCUUUGUAAAUAAUCCAGAAGAGGACUGGCCACCCCUCAGAGCCUGGUUCCUCUCUACCCAGCACAGCCAGAAGAGGACUGGCCACCCCUCAGAGCCUGGUUCCUCUCUACCCAGUACAGCCAGAAGAGGACUGGCCACCCCUCAGAGCCUGGUUCCUCUCUACCCAGUACAGCCAGAAGAGGACUGGCCAUCCCUCAGAGCCUGGUUCCUCUCUACCCAGUACAGCCAGAAGAGGACUGGCCACCCCUCAGAGCCUGGUUCCUCUCUACCCAGUACAGCCAGAAGAGGACUGGCCACCCCUCAGAGCCUGGUUCCUCUCUACCCGGCACAGCCAGAAGAGGACUGGCCACCCCUCAUAGCCUGGUUCCUCUCUACCCGGCACAGCCAGAAGAGGACUGGCCACCCCUCAGAGCCUGGUUCCUCUCUACCCGGCACAGCCAGAAGAGGACUGGCCACCCCUCAGAGCCUGGUUCCUCUCUACCCAGUACAGCCAGAAGAGGACUGGCCACCCCUCAGAGCCUGGUUCCUCUCUACCCAGUACAGCCAGAAGAGGACUGGCCACCCCUCAGAGCCUGGUUCCUCUCUACCCAGCACAGCCAGAAGAGGACUGGCCACCCCUCAGAGCCUGGUUCCUCUCUAGGUUUCCUUCUAGGCUCCUGCCUUUCUAGGGAGUUUUUCCCAGCCACUGUGUUUCUACAUCUGCAUUGCUUGCUGUUUGGUGUUUCUGGCUGGGUUUCUGUACAGCACUCUGUGACAUCAGCUGAUGUAAAAAGGGCUUUAUAAAUACAUUUGAUUGAUAAUAAGUCAAAACUGGUGAUAAUGGACAAUAGAGAAAUAUUGUUCUGGGAUAUUUUUGUCUGUGCAAAUACAAAAAGCCUUUCAAAAUCGAUAUCAAUAUUUACUGUUAUCUUCUAUAUGUUUCACAAUAUCAUUCAGUACAUGUCAUUUUACUGGUAUUCUAAGCAUAUAAACCGUAAAUAUUUACAUGCAUUUGAAAAUUCAUAUUUUUUUUUUGCACACAAUUGUAUCAUAUUUUAUCAACGUUUGAUAUCAGUCCUAAUUUAAUGGCCUAUCUUCCAUUUGAAGUAAACAGAAGCAGACAUAAUGGAAAUGAAUGUAUACUAUCUUUUGGAAGAUUUUACAAGUCUAUGCAAAUUCCAAUACAAACUAAUUUCUCUAAUUGAGCAAUUUAAUUGGCUGGUGAAGAUGUUUGCAAUUCACAAUCUAUCACAGUUUUAGUCAUUCAAACAAAAAGGAUUCAUUUAUGGCCUUUAUUGAGGCUAAGUAUACAUAUUAUUUUCUUGGUGUACAGGUUAAAGGGUUAAUGUGAUCAAGAAAAAUACAUCACGUUUAUAACAGAGACCAGUUGUUCUGGUUACAUGACGUCUUCUCAUUACAACCCAAAGACAACGUCACCAAGACGUCAUGUGCCUAAGGUUUCCCAAUGGGUAACGGUAGAGCGUUUAAGGUUUUCAGAAGGAAUCCCAUUCAUGAAAUCACCAGCGCGACUGUGUCGGUGUCACACAGAGCGACGAGCGACUCUUUUCCCGGCAUCACAUUACCCCCGGCCGUAAUAACAACCAAUACACUGAACUCUAUGUCUGCGUUCCAAAUCAUACUUCCUUACAUGGUCCACUACUUAUGACCAGGGAAUAGGGAAUAGUGUUCUAUGUGGGACACAGACUCUAUAUCAGUGUCAUUAAGUCUCUGACAACCAGGCAGUCAUGUCAGACACACGAGGGGAGGCUCCGGAUGUGCCAAGGAUGCUGACGAGGUCUUCUAUAUUACACUCAUGGUUUACUGAGAUUGUAUGUAACCUCAAGGGCCAGAAUUAGCCUGACUGGCAGUUAUACUGGACCGACGGUGAAUAUAGAAAUGAUCUUGAUCUCCUGACUCAAGGGCAAGUGUCUGAGGAAUGUUCUGGAAUAUAUUCACUGUGUGAUACAUUUACUUAUAAUAAUCACGUCGUAGGCCUCCCCGAGUGGCGCUGCGGUUUAAUAAUCAGGGUUCGAUCCUAGGCUGUGUCACUGCCGGGCCGUGACCGGGUGUGCCAUAGGGCGGCGCACAAUUGGACCAGCGUCGUCCGGGUUAGGGGCGGGUUUGACCGGUGAUGCUUUACCUGGCUCACCGGGCUCUAGCGACUCCUUGUGGUGGUCCGGGCGCCUGCAGGCUGACUUCGGUCGUCAGUUGAACGGUGUUUCCUCCGACACGUUGGUGCGGCUGGCGGGUGUUAAGGAGCACGGUUUGGCGGGUCAUGUUUCGCCUCUCCCAAGCCCGUUGGGGACUUUGCAGCGAUGAGACAAGAUCGUAAAACUGCAUCGCAAUUGGAUAUCACAAAACUGGAGAGCAAAAGCAUAAGAAAAUACGUCGUUACGAUCCUGAUUACAUUUAGGCCGUUUUGAGCUAGUUGGGGAAAAAAGUUAGAAAAAAGUAUACAAGCAGGGACAUAACGCAUUAAGACUAAUAAGAAGUUAUAAAGGCUCAUACAUGCUUAUAACAAGUUGUUAAACAUAUAACAUAAAGUAUUAUUUUCUUUGAAGUGUGUUAAAACAACAAGAAGGAAUCCUACCCGUGUCCUGUCUGGGGUAUGACUAUCCUGGACAUUCUCUGUGUAUGUGUCACAGUUAUCCUGGACAUUCUCUGUGUAUGUGUCACAGUUAUCCUGGA